UCUUAGAAAUUCCUAAGGCUCAAUGCUGUGUGGAAGAUUCUAAGAAAGAAAAUAGUUUCCUAUCUUUCGGAUUCCCCUGAGAGGGUCCAAUCUGCAGAAAGUUCAUUGCAAUUUCCAUCAAGGACACUGAGAACAAGAGUCUUAUCCGGAUUGGAUCCUGGGAAUUGAGAAGCUUCAGCAGGGCUUCCGCUGGGACUAGGACCAGGAUGUGGACAGCCCCCCAACCUGGACCCUCUGGCCAGGGAGGGUGUCAAGGCCAUGUAACUCACUCUGCCCUUUGUCACAAUGACCUCCCCAUCCCACUUCACCACCAUUCCAGAUCACAAAGGCCUUUUGCCUGUGCCUUCUGCCCUGCUCCCUCCAGCCCCUGGGCCUUGGCCUGUGCUAGUCCAGUCCCUCCAGCACAGCAGCAGCAUGCAGUCCAGUUGGGGAGACAGACACCAGACAUCCAAACAGGCACAUACAUCCCGUGACAACUCGGGAGGCAUCAAGGACGACAACGAGUUUUCCAGGCCCAGACUACAGGGGUAAAGUGGCUUCAAACUAGCGAGGGAGAAAUGGGGUCUCUGAGCAUGGGGCAGUUGAGCUGAAAGAGAUCUCAGGGGACCAGAGCAAGGAAAAGUGUUCCAGGCAGAGGGAACAGCAUGUGUGAGGUCUCUGAGACAAAGACCUGGUCAUUUCAGAAUCCCAGUGGCCACUAAAAUAGAGGGAUUCUGACCUAAAAAGGAGGGAGAGAAGGCUGCUGGAAAGCAAAGGACUCUGUGUAAGAAUCAUAAUAGUGGGGGUGGAGCCAAGAUGGCCGAAUAGGAACAGCUCCAGUCUACAACUUCCAGCCUUAGUGAUGCAGAAGACAGGUGAUUUCUGCAUUUCCAACUGAGGUACUGGGUUCAUCUCACUGGGGGGUGUCAGAAAGUGGGUUCAGGACACUGGGUGCAGCACAUCGAGCACUAUCCCAAGCAGGGAGAGGCAUUGCCUCACCCAGGAAAUGCAAGGAGUCAGAGAAUUCCCUUUCCUAGUCAAAGAAAGGGGUGACAGAUGGCACCUGGAAAAUCAGGUCACUCUCACCCUAAUACUGCACUUUUCCAAUGGUCUUAGCAAAUGG